AUUUCAAGUGUAUCUGAUUUUGUCUCUGGUGCUUUCAAGAUUGUUUAUCGGCAACUUAAGCAUGAUGACUCUACACCAUCUGUAAACAAGCCACGCAAUGACUAUUUGGUGGCUCAGGUUAAUACUCUAAGGCAGGAACUACAAAUCUUGGCUUCAAACAGACCAAUUACAAUUGUUACUGGACGUGGAACAUGUUAUGAUUGUUUCCAUUC